rnacentral:rRNA from 1 species
GCAAGGAAUUUUGCACAAUGGACGAAAGUCUGAUGCAGCGACGCCGCGUGAGGGAUGAAGACCUUCGGGUUGUAAACCUCUUUUUCUGGGGAAGAGUAAGGACGGUACCCAGAGAAUAAGUCUCGGCUAACUACGUGCCAGCAGCCGCGGUAACACGUAGGAGGCAAGCGUUAUCCGGAAUUAUUGGGCGUAAAGAGGGCGCGGGCGGUUCUUUAAGUCAGGUGUGAAAUCUCUCGGCUUAACCGGGAGGGGUCAUCUGAUACUGGAGGACUUGAGGGCAGCAGAGGGGGACGGAACUCCCGGUGUAGUGGUGAAAUGCGUAGAUAUCGGGAAGAACACCAGUGGCGAAAGCGGUCCCCUGGGCUGUUCCUGACGCUGAGGCCCGAAAGCGUGGGGAGCAAACCGGAUUAGAUACCCGGGUAGUCC